UUCACACACGGACGUCAGUGCACUUCCGUUCCCCAUGACACCGGAGUGAAGUUCUGACAGCUCAGGCUUCACUCGGUGCUUUCUCACCCCCAUAAAACCUACAUAAAUAUCACAUUUCCUUCACCAUUUUCGCUCUCAAGUGCCUCAAUCUCCGCCUGGAGCUUCAGCGAGCGGAGGGCAGCCGAUGAUGUUGUAGCACGGAGCACCAGCUCGGAGAUUACAGGCAUUUGAGUAGCAGCGCAGCGCGAGGCAGACCAAGGCAGAGCGCUGCUGAGUAGCCAUGCUCACAUUGGCCAGUAAGCUGAAAAGGAGCGAUGGAGGACAGACAGGCCGUGCCUCUGGAGCCACUGACUCAACUCAUAGGGUCUCGAUAAGGGACCGUCUCCUUACCAAAGAAGUUGCGGAACUUGAAGCCAAUCUUCCUAGUACAUGCACAGCCAAUUUCCCAGACGAGGACAAGCUGCACCAUUUUCAGUUGGCAGUGUCUCCUG